rnacentral:lncRNA from 1 species
AGUGGCGAGCACCCCGCCGCGGCUGAGACGCCGCGCUGGGGUUCCGGACCCCGGGCGCCGCCAGGGAUUGCUUCGGGGUCGGUGAUCUCCCGGGGCCGCCCGCCACCGUGCACCGCGGCGCCCCGGGUCCCCAGCGCGCCUGGGAGGGGCCCCGGGGAGCGGCUCCGCCCCGGCUGGAAACCUGGUCAACGCGGCUAGGGCCCGGGGCCCGCCUGCGCUCCGGGCGCUGGGAAGGGGCCGGGCGCCCGGGGCCGGGGAGGGCCAGGAUCGGCUUCCGACGCCCGCCUCCCGGCCCGCAGGGAAUGGGAAGGCGCGGGCGGAGUGCGUGCGUAGGCUAUAGCCCUCCGGGAAGCCGCGCCGGGAGCGGCUACCACCCGGGCAAGAACAGCGCAGAGCGCUGCGGCGGCGGGAAGGAGAGCGGGGGAAGGCUCCGCAGAUUGCGGGGGAGUCCCACCUGGAGCCGGGGCAGCCGUGAACUACCGAGGAGGAGGCGGAGGAGACGGCGGCUGUUCCAGAGGAGGGAGUCGUCAUAACCGGCUACUGCCGCUCACCGGAAACCUCGGGCGCGGGAGCUGGGCCAGGGGGCGCCAAGGAGCAGCUGGGACACCUUGGCCAGCCGGCGCCGUGGGCGGGCUCGGGCCCCGCAGAGGCAGGACCGGGACUACACCCAGGAGGGCCAGGGCGCGGGGCCCGACGCUCGGAGCGGCUUCAGCCCGGCGAGCGGCCUCGACCCGGCGAGCGCAGCAGGGAGGGGCUCAGAGUCGAGGAACCAUCUGCCCUUCCUGGCGUUCUCCCGCGAACGUUCGCGCGAGUCCGCCAGCUCCCUCACCAGGGCCGGAAAGACCGACGGCACGUGCCGGCGCCGGACGCCCAUCUCCAUCGCAGCAGCCCGCGCCUCCUUGAGCGAGAGCGUUAAAGCGCUCAGAGGAUGUUAGGACGGGGUGGGUAGAAAACCUGACUCUUCGUGUCUUCUGCGUUGCACUGAGGUGGAUUUUUACUUUUGUCUUAUUUCAAGCAGAAGUUGCCGCCCUAACUUCCAAAUUUGGGGACUGAACAUCGUUCACCGAAUACACUUUGUGAUGGUGAGGAUACUUUGGAGUCCACACACAUUUUAAAAGCAGUAUAGUUUUACCUAUCCGUAAACUCAUCAAGUUCAAAUGCUACUCUGUGGAGUUUAAUUUUUAUGGUUUUGUUAAUUUACUUUAUUACUGCUUAUAAUUAUUUGAACUCCCAUCCCCCACUGUCUUUUCCUCUAAGCUCCCCCAGGCCUAGUAUUCCAUCUACAGCACAGUAGAGUUGAUCAUUAAAUAGUGACUAAAGUUGAACUGAUUAUAUGAAGGUGAUGACUUCAAAAUAAACAUGCUCAAAUGAAUAUAGUCACCAGAAGUUAAAUAAUAUGAUCAUAAGGAAACAAGUUUGUUUCCAAAGGCUUACAUGCUUUUUACGUAAUUUUUAAAAGUAAUGUUGUUUAAGAAUUGUUACAAGUUCCAUUAGUGACCUGCUAAAUUAGGAAUCUUACCUGGAAUUUUUUUCAAAUAAUAACAGCAAGAACAUGUGGUGUUUAACAUGUGCCAAACAUUGUUUUAAAGCACUUUACAGUAUUAAUUUAUUCUUUUUAUUGAAAAGAUUUUGCCUCUAAGGGAACUGUCAAGAGGCAUGUGAACCGGAGCAACUCCAUCUUAAAUAGGAGCUGAGUAAAAUGAGGCUGAAACCUACUGGGCUGCAUUCCCAGGCCGUUAAAGCAUUCUAAGUCGCAGAAUGAGAUAGGAAGUCGGCACAAGAUACAGGUCAUAAAGACCUUGUUGAUAAAACAGGUUGCAGUAAAUAAGCCGGCUAAAUCCCACCAAAACCAAGAUGGCCAUGAAAGAGACCUCUGGUAGUCCUUACUACUAUACUCCUAUCAGCGCCAUGACAGUUUACGAAUGCCAUGGCAAUGUCAGGAAGUUACCCUAUAUGGUCUUAAAAGGGGAGGCAUGAAUAAUCCACCUGUUUAGCAUAUCAUCAAGAAAUAACCAUAAAAAUGGGCAACCAGCAGCACUCAGGGCUGCUUUGUCUAUGGAGUAGCCAUUCUUUUCUUCCUUUACUUUCUUUUUUUUUUUCCUUUACUUUCUUAACAAACUUGCUUACACUUUGCCCUGAAUUCUUUCUUGCUCGAGAUCCAAGAACCCUCUCUUGGGGUCUGGAUUGGGACCCCUUUCCUAUAACAGAAUUACUGCUCUAUUAUUUUAUACUUUGCAUACUUCACCAUCCCACACUAAUGACAGUAAUUUUUUAAAAUGCUUCCUCAAGCCAGGCACUGUGGCUCAUGCCAGUAGUCCCAGCUACUCAGGAUGAUCGCUUGAGCCCAGUGAGGUUGAGGCUGCAGUGAGCCAUGAUUGAGACACUGCACUCUAGCCUGGGCCACAGUGAGACCCUGUCUCAUAAAAAAAAAAAAAAAAAGCUUCCUCAGCCUACUUGCUACCAUCCUAUUUUUGUCACAUACAAAAAGGUUAAAAUCAGUAUGACAUGUGCAUGGUACUAUUUUAUUUUAUUUUUUUUGUAGAAACAGGUUCUUGCUAUGUUCCCAGCACUUGUUUCCAACUCCGGGCCUCAAGUGAUCUUCCAGCCUCGGCCUCCUAAAGUGCUGGGUUUACAGUUGUGAGCCACCACGCCUGGCUAUGUGGUGCUAUUUUAAACACCUACAUAUUGAAUGGUCAUUCAGACUUACAGGAAACCAGAUAUGAUAAACCUGAACAUGAGAUUGAGUCUCUCUUACUGUAACAGCCAUUCUCAAAUAGAAUUUCUCUCCAAAAUACCAAUGUUAGAAUUUAAAUUUUCUUUGAGCUGACAUAAAACUCAAGUGUCUACCAAUAGAAGGCUGGUUGAAUAAACUAUGGUUUAUCCAUACAAUGUAAAACUAUGCAUGCAUAAAAAGGAAUUGAGAAAUAUCUCUGUACACUACAGAAUAUUGAGUGGGAAAAGGAUAUGUAAUAUGUAAAUAUCAUUUUUCUAAGAGGAAUAUGUGUGUAUACAUGUGUAUACACAUAUAUAUUUACUAAUUAUUAUUUUACAAGUAGAUUAACAUUUAAAAUGACUAUAUGGGCAAGGAGGGAAGAGGAGGGGUAUAAGGAACAAAGAAGACAUGACUUUGUUUUUUGGUGUGUGUGUGUGUGUGUGUGUGUAUGUGUGUGUGUGUGUGUGUGACAGAGUCUUACUCUUUUGCCCAGGCUGGAGUACAAUGGUGCAAUCUUGGCUCACUGCAACCUCCAUCUCCUGGGUUCAAGCAAUUCUUCUCCCUCAGACUCCUGAGUAACUGCGAUUACAGGCAUGCGCCACCAUGCCUGACAAAUAUUUAUAUUUUUAGUAGAGACGGGGUUUCACUGUAUUGGCCAGGCUGGUCUCGAACUCCUGACCUCAAGUGAUCCGCCCACCUCAGCCUCCCAAACUGCUUGGAUUACAGGCGUGAGCCACCACGCCUGGCGUGAAGACAUGACUUUGAAGUCAUGUAAAUAUGUUACAUUAUAAAGCAAAAUUCUGUUUUUAAAAAGCAAUCCUUGAAAGUAAAAUGAAACUAAAUGAACCUAAAUGUUUUCCAAUUGUGGCAUAUCACCCAGAGGAGCUAUCCCAAGUGACUUUAAAACUUAAUUUGUAUAUACUUAGUGGGAUGUAUUCUCAGGACUAAAGUACAAAAAAACUCUUUUGUAGACUGCAUUCCGUAACCAAAUUGUUGGUGGCAAUAUUGGUAUUAUGGGAUACACCAAGUUGAAGUAAUUAUGAUGGUACCUUUGAAGCUGAAAUUUUUGACAUGAGAUAGAAAUAUGAAAGCUUAAUCAGGCUAUAUAAACAUCCUGUAGUUCUGAAUUUCAGUUGGAGGCCUCAGUAUGAUUAACAGUAUGGUUAAUCUUUAAAAACACAUCUCUCCUACGUGCUCCAUUGAAAAGGCCUAGAGACAAGCUACCCAGGAGGAAGAAGCACCCCCUUGCGCUCACACUGUGAUCUCUACCAACCAUUUCCCAUUAAAAGAAACACUGACUCCAUAGAACAAUGGAUGAUCUUGGGUCUGGAGCAGGAAAUGUACAAGAUAAGCCUGCAACAUCUUACAUCAGGAAGCAGCAAAGCAAUCAAAAGGCUAUUAGGGUCAUAUCAAAAGGACUCAGGAUCCACCUUGAAAACCUUCCUACUGGCCAAAGAUAGGAUGAUUUAAAACAUAAAUAAAGGUAACUGUAAUUGGAUGAAGGACAGAUACAUUUAAGUAAUCAUAUCAGACACGACCAAUCAACCAAACAUGCAAGCCAAAAAGGUAUCGCUGUUCAUUUUUAAUGACAGAAGGAAACCAACUCUUAUUCUGAAAACUGGUAAACAAAGGGAAAGAAUCAGGAAUAUUUAUACUGUCUUUCCUGUAUGAAUUAUGAUGCAAAUAACAAAAUAACUGAAGUAAAUUUUUUAUGGAAACAUUCCAACUACUAAAUGAAAAAGAAAUGACAAUAUCACUCCACAAGCUCUGUGAACUAAUAGAUUUAAGAAGUGAUCAUCAAUUAUUUCUUUAUCACAACUGAGAAACCAUCAGGAAUUAUCUGUCUCCUGCUGGAAGAAUACACUUCCACCUAAUGAAGUAUUUUUGUUGAAAAAUAAUUGCCUUUAGAUUUAAACACAGGAGGCGGAACACACUAACAAAAGGUAAGAAAUCAACAUCCAGAUGGAGGGAAACUAUAGGACAAAUGACCUAGUUUUUUCUACAAAUAAGAAACUUCAUCGAAAUUGCAAGAAUUAAGAAAAAGAGAGACAGAGAUGGAAGAAUGCAUGGCUUAAAAAAUUUGAGACAAAUCCAACAAAUUACAAUGAGUAAAUUGCUAACAAUAUCAGCAGAAUGUAGUAUACUGGUUCUCUCAUCCAACUGUUAGACCAUAAUUAAAAGGUGUUGACAUUUUUAAUGAAUAAAUUUUGGCUGUAACUGA